rnacentral:lncRNA from 1 species
GAGGUACAUUUUUCGUUUUAAUAUAUAUGAAUUGCUUUAACCUGUCUUACAUUCAAGGAUAUUACAUAUCUCUCGUUGAAGAAGGAUGUUACAUCUCUCUCCUUGACUGUAUGUUUUGAUAUGCUAUUUAAAUAAAUUUAUAUAUGAAUACUGUGUUCUUAUUUUGAGCCAAAGCUUAUAGGGGUUUGUUUGUGUGCCUGUGAGUCUAAAGUGGUGCUCUACUAUGUUACUUGUCUGUUUUUCUAUGUUUGCUAGUUGGGUGUGAUUAUGUGUUUAUCUUUGGUACAUGAAUGUCUGCGCUACUGAAGGAACGUAGUAUUCCCUUUGUAUAUUCAUCCUUGUUCUGCUUUCCCCUUCAACUUCCUCCCAAAUCCCCUUCUUUACCCCUGACCACUUCCUUACCUCCUUUCUAUAUUUGGCAUAGAUUUAUAUGUUAGAUUUUUGAAGCAGCCCGUCAGUAAUAUUUUUCCAUUGCAGCAUCUUUUCAUUAUUAUGGGCCUACUUUGCUAAUGCGUGCCUUUGAGGCUGUAUUUGCGGUGCUGUGCGCUUCCGAGACGUAUUUUCCAAUACGUAUUUUGUUUUAUCGUACGUUUUCCGGAUAAAUGACAAUAUGCCAUCACUUCCGGUGAAUCAGACAUGUAGAACUUCGUUUAAUGUUAAAUUUUGUCAGCGUUCCACCACACAUAUCACAUUUUGUGAGAGAAAGAUCAGAUAACUCUGGAGAGAAUAAUGCAAAAAAGGUUAGUGACAGUCUAAUUAUUUUCUAAAAUAACUGAAGCUACUAUAGAAAUGGCUCUAUGCUGUUAGUUAACCUAAUUUUAAACAAUAUGUAUUCAAAUCUUUUCUAUAUAAAUUCCUGCAUUGUUUCGCUGUUUCCUUUGCAGAAAUGAGAAUGAAUAAUUACCCGGCAGAAAUUAUCUGUAAUGAUUCAAAAGACAGCAUUAGAAAGUUUUGUAGUUUGCGUUUCGUUAAGAUUUGUGCUGCUACCUGUGCAUGUAUUCUGUUACCAGUAUCAUUUCUUCUCCAGAUAUGGCUUUCUGUAACAGACAUAUGGGCAUCAUGUAACACCUUUGAAGAUAGCGGAACUUUGGGAUAUGGUGUAUCUGCAGGAAUUGUAAGCUUGAUGUGUUGCGGAAUAACGGCAGGUUAUGAGUCAGAAAACAAUAUGAUUUUGUAUACUUUGUGUACCUGUGCGCUGGAUGCACGACAACUGUAUUGUCAAUGGCUAUAAGGAUUGGCUACCUGUGUUUGAAAUUUUGUCGAGUUAGACAAGAUUUUGAGCAUCAAAUCAGACAGGAAGGGAUUCUAAGCAUGACGGGUUGCAGUAUAACGGCUGUCGGAAAACAAACAAUACAAAUAUAAUUUUUCAUUCUAUAUGUAUCUGAGUACUGGAUGCACAACAGUUAUAGUGUCACUGGCUUCAGUAUUUGGGUACUUGUGCUUGAAAUUAUGCCGAGUUAGACAAGACUAUGAAUAUCAAAUUGUCAGUGAUGACACGGAUUCAGAGACAGCACCCACACUGCAUGCUGUACAGUAGGAAUCACUCGAAUUUAAUCUUGUUUCAGGUGCUUUGUUACUAAUUGCUAUAAAUGUGUAUGCUUAUAAUUUUGUUGUUAUAAUGAAAAUGGACCUUACUUUCUAAUUCAUCAUAGCCAGAAUUCAUGUAAUGAAAUUUCCAUAAAGAAACCAAACGUGUUAAAAUGUCAUGGUGCUUACAAAAUAAACCAAUUUACCUAAUAUGGUAAAUACUACUAGCUAAUGAUGUAUGUUUAUUUUCUUUGAAAUAUGUACAAAAUAGUUAUGUCAUAUUUAAUAAUUAAUUAUUGUAAUGACCAAAUGACCUAAUAAUGUCUUUAUUCUUUCACAGCUGAAUCAAUUCUAUUGUCAUGCUAUACAAAAAUCGUAUUUGGUGAUUCUGCCUUUAUACCCUUAACUUAGUUAAAAUGUUCAUUUAUUAAAUAGCAUGAAUAGCUAUUAUCCUUUUUUAAAAAAUCGAGGAGGUGGGGGAGGAGCGGAAAGGACAUUUAAAAUUAAUCAAAUGUGCCUGCUUUGGGAAUAACUUGACACUGUUUCUAUUUUAAAAGCGAUAUCUACGCUUCUCCACGUCAACGUACGUGUUAGCAUGUCUUUAUUGAAUUGUACCCUGAUACUCUGAAGACAGAUUAUCAUAAUUAUAGAACCUGUUUUAUCUUUGACAAUAGAAAUUACCGGAUUACACAUAUUCAAGUGAAAUGUAGCACAUUUGCCACCUUUCACCUCCCCAAAGACACACCCGACACCGCCAUUUCAACAGGCCAGCUACAUAAUUUGCCACCCCGCUCUGGCCAUCCCGAAUCAGCAUACCCCUUAUUAGCAUGGUAAAUAGUAGCCUUUAAUUGAAUAACAUAAGUGCUAACAACAACAUUAUAUUAUUUUCAUCUGUGAAAAGUUUUGUUAAUCACAGGGAUAAAACUAUCGUGAGCAAAUGUCGAUUUCAGCGCGGAUAAAGGUGGGGGGAGCGUAAAUAACGUAACCGCAAUUAAAAAUCUUCCAGCAAUCCGCAUUUUUAUUUGGGUUGUGGAGAAGGAGGAGGGAGUGGCUUUUGCGUGAGGAGAAAAUGUCAUUAGGGCAAGAUUUUCGGAUCCUAUCCAUAAUAGUAUAUCGAAUGAUUUUACUAACAGUUCAAAACACAACUUUGUUGAGAUAAUCAUCAGAGUGGCCAGCCAGCGUGACUUUUCAGUGUCUUACACACGAUGAAAAUCGUUCAUGUGUCAUUUUUUGUCGGUAAUUUCCUUGUUACUUGGUGAUUUUAAUACAAUAAAACCGUUGAAGACAGUCAGACGGGUCCUUUUCUUGGCACAAAAUGUCUGUCAGACUUAAUCAAUACUGUCUUUAUACACUUCGCUCAAAUUCCAGUGUGUACGUUACUUAUAUAUUUGGUCCUUGAAAAAACAUAGGGUGAAGUCUUAGUAACCUUGUUUUCAGGUGCGUAAACGUAUCAUGAAGGUCACUUUGACUGAUAAUUAAACGGUCUGUGAACACUACCUAUAAGAUAAGAACCUGCCGUUGAUGCAGUGCAAUUAUGAGUUGUAACGCAGGAUUUAAACAUUUUAGCGUUCAAAGAAUGAAAUGGCUAUCUUACACUUUCAGUACGUCCAAGAACACCUAUUUCUACGUACGGGAUUUUUAUCAAUUUAUAUUUAUAUAUAGUUCAUUUUUAUAUUCUUAUUCAUGCGUAUAUAUAUUUUACAGGAUUUCUGUAAGCGUAUAAGAUAAAUAUCGAUCUUUUGGUUACAAUUCAGAUAUAUAAAACAUUCACCAAACCCAGGCAAACCCUUUAUAUAUCAGAUUUAAACAGACGUAAAUGUCAAUAAUUUUAUAUGCAGUUUUACUGUAUUUUCAUACAAUAUUGAAUUAUUACACAAUAUUUAAGGGCUGUUCGCGUCGAGAGAUAUGCACGAGUUCUGCAGCGGAAAUAUUACGUAACUUUAGGAUCGCACUAUUAUUCCGCUAAUGAACGCAUAUUUCUUGAUGCAGAGCUUAUAAUCUUUUUAUUGCGUACGUAUAUAUACGUAAUAAUAUACCUAUAUAAUGAAAAGAAUUAAAAUUAUCUAUAUGCAAUUCGAAUUUACUGAAUUUACGCGAAACUGAAAUGUCAAUAUUUUUCCAUAUUGAUGACCGCGUUUCCUAUCGGGGGCAUGACGUCAUUUUAAUUGAUAUCGUUGAGUUAGUUUCUUCUAUCAGUGUCAGUUUUAUCAAUUCUAUGCUAGCUAUUUUUUGUGCGUUUUUCAGGCGCAGUUUAUUCAGGUUUAUAUAUUUGUAGUAUAUCGUUUUCUGUUGU